rnacentral:rRNA from 1 species
AACGAACGCUGGCGGCAGGCUUAACACAUGCAAGUCGAACGGGAGUAGCAAUACAUCAGUGGCAGACGGGUGAGUAACACGUGGGAACCUUCCUAGGGGUACGGAACAACUCAGGGAAACUUGAGCUAAUACCGUAUACGUCCGUGAGGAGAAAGAUUUAUCGCCCCUAGACGGGCCCGCGUCGGAUUAGGUAGUUGGUGGGGUAACGGCCUACCAAGCCUACGAUCCGUAGCUGAUCUUAGAGGAUGAUCAGCCACACUGGGACUGAGACACGGCCCAGACUCCUACGGGAGGCAGCAGUGGGGAAUCUUGGACAAUGGGCGCAAGCCUGAUCCAGCCAUGCCGCGUGAGUGAAGAAGGCCUUAGGGUUGUAAAGCUCUUUUACCAGGGACGAUAAUGACGGUACCUGGAGAAUAAGCCCCGGCAAACUUCGUGCCAGCAGCCGCAGUAAAAC